GACGAACGCUGGCGGCGUGCUUAACACAUGCAAGUCGAACGGAAAAGCCCUGUUUUUGUUGGGUGCUCGAGUGGCGAACGGGUGAGUAACACGUGAGUAACCUGCCCUUGACUUUGGGAUAACUUCAGGAAACUGGGGCUAAUACCGGAUAGGAGCUCCUGCUGCAUGGUGGGGGUUGGAAAGUUUCGGCGGUUGGGGAUGGACUCGCGGCUUAUCAGCUUGUUGGUGGGGUAGUGGCUGACCAAGGAUUUGACGGGUAGCCGGCCUGAGAGGGUGACCGGGCACAUUGGGACGGAGAUACGGCCCAGACUGCUACGGGAGGCAGCGGUGGGGAAUAUGGCACAAUGGGCGGAAGCCGGAUGCAGCAACGCCGCGUGCGGGAUGACGGCCUUCGGGUUGUAAACCGCUUUCGCCUGGGACGAAGCGUGAGUGACGGUAAUGGGUAAAGAAGCACCGGCUAACUACGUG
rnacentral:rRNA from 1 species